rnacentral:ncRNA from 1 species
UUAAAAGCAAUGAAAAGAAGAGUAAAUAAAAUAAUUCAUUUUCAGAGAGCUCUAGAUGGUGGGAUUGAGCAAUGGAUUUUUAUUGAAGAAGGUCUUGGAGCUGCACACUGAGUCUAUUUUAUCCGAUAGCUAGUAAUCCGUGAUACUUUCUCACAUAUAGGUGGAAGAUAAUGGCUACAAGCUUUUGGACAGGAUACCCAUUGAGGGUAUAAGUUAAACUAGAAUUCAGAUGGGAAUGAAAACCCAGCAUGAAUCAAGUUUCACUUAAUAGAGGUAGGAUGUGACGGAAUACCCCGUUAUAGGUAUAGAGUAUCUCGUUUUUUGAUGUACUUGAAGAGGUGUAUACGGCAACGCAUACAUAAACUGAGGUGGUACCACGAAUUUAUAACUUUCGUCCUCAAG